ACUGGCCGCAAGGGGUGGGAUGAGGGGCAGGGAAGAGGAGGAAAAGGAGGAAUCAGGGGAGGAAGGAAUGAAGAACCAGAGGGCAGAAGGAAAGGAGCAGGAGGACCCGGGUGUGGUGGGCAGGCAUCACCUCUCGGGCACCUGUUUGCCUCUGUGUCCUGUGUCCUGUGUCCACAGUCUGUGGUCUCCACACCAAGGCCCAGCAAGGAGGAAUGGCGCCCCCUUAUGGAAGAACACACACCUGGGAGCUCCCAGGCUAUCGUGAGUGGACUCUGAGGCCCCCCCAAAUGCAGCAGCUGGUUUCAAAGGCUGAUGUGGGCUCCAGCCCAUGGAAAGGCUGACGUGGGCUCCAGGUACGACUGGUGCUGAAGAGGCUUCCUGGGCUCCCCAGCUUCCCUCUCAUCCCCAGGGCUGGAGGGACAUGCUCCAGGGCACCUCCCAGUGACGUGCCAGGACCCUCUGAGCACCCCGAUGCCCGACUCCUGGCCUCCGCUCAACAGGAAUCACAGUCACCUAGUGGCUCGCUGUACAAUGUACAAUGGCCCUCUGCCCGGGGGCCUCCAGAAGAAAUCAGGGCAGCCAGGGAUGUGCACUCAGAGUUGGUCCUGG
rnacentral:lncRNA from 1 species